GUUUGACACAUUUUGCCGGUUUGAGCCGGUCCCGAAAUAGUGUUUUUGGAAAGCUGAUAUAAUGGCAGAUUCCCACGUAAUUUUUCUUGAUUUUUAGGUAUCUUAUUUACGAAGGAUUGAAGUAAUGAAACCGAACUUUAGGUUUGCCGAAUGUGUUUCUUAAUAGAUGAUAGAUGGCGAUUGCUGUAAUAGGGAUUUAACACAGAUUCAACACAGGUAGGGGGCAGUUCAGCCGCAGCAGGUGGGGCCGGUUGUCGUGGAGCUGGUCCCGAAUUGGUGUUUUUGGAAAGUUGACAUAAUGGCAGAUUCCUUAGUCACGUUUUACGAUUUUUAAGUGUCUUAUUUACGAAGAACGAAGCAAUGAAAAUCAACUUCAGGAUUGCGAUGUUUGUGUCCGUCGCUGGAUAGCGUUUAGCUUGGAAAAGAAACAUUUUGUGUCAGAUAAAGUAACCAUAACCAUGGUAAUCUAUAAGCUAAAGAGCUAUAAGAAAGUUUGUAUACCUGUAACCGGUUUUUACGAAAUUGAAACUUAUUUAUGAAUGAUAUGGCGUGUUGAUUGGAAUAGGAAAAGUUUUGUAAAUUGAUUGGAAGGGGAAAGGUUUUGUAAACAGGUUGUUUGUCAACCAAAAAGUCGCCGAAGAAUCAUGGUAAAAUGGGGAAACCACCAUUUUGCGAUCAAAUCUUCAAACCGUUAUUGCAUCUAUGUGGAAAAGAGAGCUUAAAGUGUGUCAGCAGCUAACCUCCUUACAAGAAAAAGUAAUUCAUAUGGAUACACAGUAUUCAAAACAGCUGGAAGCAUUAAGACAGAAAUGAAGUUCAAGGUUUUUUCGUUUCAUUUUGACAAUAUUAUUUAGUCUGUGGUGGCAUUAUAUACCUUAUUUGAUACGUGAAUAUUUUUUGGAAAGUGGUUACAUAACAAGUGCAAGAAGAUUGAACGAAAUGUGAAAGAGCAACACAAGAAUAAAAUACUUCCAACCUCAACUCAAGAAUCAUCAAACAAAAGAAAAUCCUAAACAGAUCUUCUUUGAAAUGGCUGAAUGUGAGGCACUGAACAUAAUAUUUAAAGUUUGGUCUAACUACAUUAUUGCUAUGGUUGGAUUUGCAUUUCCUCAGUAGAAAUGUAACGCUACCGAUGCUGCAAUUCUGAUGGAAACGCUCAAAUUCAGCCUUCAGUCGUCCAUGUAUACAAUAACGGUAGAUGGCUGAUUUUUUUGUUCUUCCACUCCCACCUGUCCCCGUUCUUUCUUUUUCCGUCCGGAGCUUACAAAAGCUGAUUGGUAAUGACAGCGAUUUCUAAUUCAACCGUUAUGGAGCUGUAAAAACUACAAAUGAUUUCCGGUGGGGUCCAAGAAAAUUUGAUAGACCUAUUCCAUGGCAGUGAAAAUGGUAUAGCUGAAAUGGUAUGCAGCAACUUAGAGCGGGUCAAAGUACGAAAACCGGAGAUUGAUUCCACAAUCUUAAGCUUCACAGGCAGACACCCAUCCACAAAGCCAUGGGUGAUAGAUGAUAUAAAAAUGUGUUGAUAAAAAAAAAUUUAUUUUUUAGGUUAUUGAUUGCUGAGUCAGAGAACAAUAUGUAAAAUCUGACAUUCUAGCCCUCGAAACCCCAGCUAACCAUAUGCUUCAACAAGAGUAUAACGCAAUUAUAUUUUGA
rnacentral:lncRNA from 1 species